rnacentral:misc_RNA from 1 species
UUGGAAUCGAUGCAUUGGUUAAUGUUUUUUUAACACACAGCUGGGAUGGUGAUCUCAAAAAGAACAAAUAUAUUUCACCAAUUGGGCAGGAAAAAUUAAACAUCAAUAUUAAAAACUUCUAGCUAUAUUUACAUGAAAGAUAGAAACAAAACUUCUAGUAGGGCCUUCUCAUAAACCACUAAUUCCAUAUACGAGCAUACAUGUUAAUCCUGGACUGGUUUCCAAACUGAAAGAGCGUAGAUAACUCUCCCUUUCCAUCCCUGUAGCAUCCACCCGCCAUCCUCAUCAACUACAAAAUCCUUGUGAUACUCUGAUCUCACAGUAGAUCUCACUUUCUUCAAAAUUUCUUGAUCUAAUAAAAGCUGCCUGAACCCAGCUCUUAUAUUUCGAACCUGCCACUGUCUGUAUGUCUCAGGCCUUUCAACCCUCUCAGUACCCUCACAUGCUAUGACAUUCAUAAUAUCUCUUCCAAAUAUUUCUUUCUCAUACAGCAAUCUUUGCUCAUCUUCGCAAGGCACGUUAACGUCAAACAUAUCAAACAUGGAAGAGAAGUGGAAUAGUGCCUCUCGAAACCGAGUGACGAAGAAUGGAGCAUUAUAGGUACCAUUAACAACUCCAUGGAUAAAUAAGUCUGGUUUGAUUCUCCUGAUCAAUUCUAAGACAGCAUCUCUUGCACUGUUUGCUACAACUGUGUCAUCAGGGAGAUUCCUUAACCGAUGCAAACAGUUGACAACAGUCAUCUCAUCUCUGUUGAUGUUGAGAUCCUCGUACUUGAUGGUUUCCCAUUUCUGUGCUAUGACAUUAUACUCAAAUGGGACGUUAAACCUCUCACAAUAUCUUCGUAAGCGACGGCCAGUCUCCUCGACCCUUUCAGCAGGGCGAAAACCAGGUUGAGGGAGCUCAAUUCCAGUAAUUCGCAACUUUGGAGGUCCACCAGGCCUUUGUGAGAGGCGCUGGAUGAGGCAAGGCCAUUGAAAACCAUAGAGAAUGCCAAAAUCAAUAAUGUGGAGCCUAGUUGCUUUCUGUGCUAGUUUGAAAAUUGUCUGAUUAGCAAAGAAAUUUGACAUUCGCUUGAAUGGGCAUGCCUUAACAUACACCUGGUAAGCUUUUAAGAUAUCAGAAACUGGUGUCUUGUUGCUUACAAGCGGCGUAUAUUUAGGCGUACUGGUACCAGCCAAACGUGUCUCAAGGGCCUUGGAGAAGUAAUAUGCUAAUCUUUGGUUUCCAUCCCCAUAAACUGAAGAAUGUUGCCCAAUCUGCCUAAGUAGCUCUGUUGCAGUCCUUUGGUCACUGAUUGCCACAGCUUGUGCACACUGUGUUAGCAGAGUUGGCAAAUCCACCACUUCUCCUUUGUUUCCCUGUCUCCUUCCUCGCGUCGUUCUGCCAUUAGAUCCUUUACCCUGCCCAUUCCGGCUUGCUCCAUUCUGUGACUUUUCAUGAAGAGCACGUGCUUCAGACUUGCUGUUUUCACUUGGACAAAGCAAUACCUUAUCAAACAUCUCUGACUGCUCAGACUCUGCGAGAGAAAUAGCAGAAUGCUUGUUGCUCCUCUCUUCUUCUAAAUAAUCACCAUCCUCACGUUGAUGAUUUUUCCGUCCCCGUGAACUAUUCGGUGAGGAAUCUCUCUCAGUUUCUGGGCUGCUCUUUGGUGCCAAUACCAAAGAAUCACCAUCUCCUAUCCGUUGCCUGACCACUGUUAACGGGUGUAUAUCACUCUGGAAAUAUGGUCCUAGAAGGGUACUUUCAGGGGAGUCAAUAAGAGAACUUUGGAUUCCAUGUAAAUCUAAAUCAACUCGAUCAAAAAUCCAAUUUGAAUUUUCAACUGAAGUAUUAACAGCAGCUGGAUAGCUCUUGCUGCUAUCAACACUGCUACUCCAAGGUGAAUUAUCAACAGGACUUUCAACAUUUUGAGAACAGUGAUCCAAGGAGUGGGGAUAUUCCUGACCAAGGACAUCAUACAAGGAUUUCUCUGCAGCUUGGAGGGCCAAACAGUCCUGCAACAUACAGGUCUUGCCCUCUAAGUCCUCUUCCAUAAGCAUAUCGCUUAUGUACUUGAGAACAACAUUAUUAUUUGGAUCAUGUCCUUCUGAGCUCAAGGAUGAAGGAGAAGAUGAUGUCAAGUCAUUAGGAGGUUGUGGAUCAAAUGAAGGAACGGGGGAAUAAGGAUUACUCAAGUUAUUAUUGAGCUCAUAUCCAUUAAGAAGAUUUCUAUUUGGAGAGAAAGAAACGGGGUAAUGGUCGAAAUUGAAUCUAUUCAUGGAAUUAGGAAAUUCUUGAAGAAGGGUAUCCAUCAAGAACAACAACACUUCCUUCGGGUUCCCAAGCAAUUUCAGGAAAAGCAAUUAUAACAAGAUAAGAAAUCUAUGGCUCAGGUCAAUUUCCCAGAUAAAUUUAAAAUAAAUAAAUUUUAAAAAAGAAAUUAUUAGUCUUGACCUAUGUUAUAACAUUCGAGUAGAUCUCAGUUGAGUAAAUGUGCAAGAAACGAUAAAGAACCCAUAAAACCAGUUGAACAAGUGAGAAAAUCCAGAAUCUUGCAAAAAAAGAUUGGAGAGAGAGGAAUAUACAACAGAGAUUACAAAGUCAGAACCCAAAAAAAAAGUGCUCGACCUAAACAGUUGGGUAUUUUUUUUUUACCUGAAUAAAUGUGCAAUAAACAAAAUACAAAGAGAAAAAUUGGAGCUAAAUACUAUAUGUAUAUAUAUAUCUAAAAAUAGAAAAAGAUGAACAGAUGAUUUUUUUUUUGGUGGACGAUGAAAUAAAAAUUUAAAGAAAGGUAAAGAAUCCCCAGUGAGACCAGAGCUUUAGAUAGAGAUGCUAUCUAUGAGGCAUGAGAGAGUAAAGGCCCUUAUUUAAAAGAGAAACUGGAAAGCGAAAACCUAGAGAGAGGAAACUUCUGGGAAAGUCUGUUAAAGAUAGACAAAAGCAGCCGCCAGCCUAUACCACUAAUACCCAUGCUGGGUUGGCUUUUCUUUCAGACAGUGAUUAGUGCAACGU